rnacentral:lncRNA from 1 species
CGCCUCAGAGCUGAUUUGCCCCGCUCGCUCUCCAAGUCUGGAUUUUUAGGGACUGCAGUUAAAAGCCAGGGCUAGGACUUGGAGGAUGUGUAGGCAAACGGAAGGAGAGCCGGGGGAAGAAAAACCGAAAUGGAUUCAUUCUCUGUCCUGGAUGGAGGAGGAGAGGAGAGGAGAGGAGAAGGGGACGUGCGAGCUUCCUUCAACUGCCUCUGUCCGGUGAAAAGUGCUCAGACCCCCGGGGCUGAGCCGGGCUCAGGAGUCCACGCGGACUUUCGCUUUAAGCUGCCAAUCAAACCGCUAACUAGCCACCACCCUGCGCUGGCACCGACAUGGUCUGCGGGAUCUCCCUCUGUGAGAGGCAACUCGGGCAGCUCGGUCCUCUCUGCAGUCUCAGCACUGCCAGUGGAGAAGCCCAGGAGUGCAGAGCAGUGGCUGAGCAGCAAUUUGAAUAUUCAUAUUUAA